GCCCCACUGGUCUAGAGAUGGAGACUCGGAGGGCUUUCGGUUCACGAAAGCCAUUUCAGUGUCAGCCGGGGCAAGCAAAGGAACCCAGAGUCAGCCCUGCAGCAGCCAGAAAAGGAAACUGCAGCCAGGAACGCCCCACCCUGCAGGGCCCCUGUGGCCACCACACCUGCCCUCAGACCCACACGGACACCACAGAAGAGGGAGCCCUGCCGCCCUCAAGUUUCCUGGACUCAUUCUCGACACCCACUCUCACUCCGCCUGACCUGGCACUUGCUGUCCCAGCUCCGGUUGCCCUGCUUUUCUGGGUUUGACCCCUGCCAGUUCCCUGCUCUCGUCUUGAACCCACUCAAAAGUAACUCCGAUCAAACACCCAUGGCACGACUUUUACGGCCCCUGGUGCACCCGCUGCCCCUGUCAGUGGGGCCGGCAGCUGGGUGCCACUGAAGAAGCCUCCUCCCUCUUCUGGGUGCUGUGUUGGCUUCCGGGGUGGCAUUUCCUCCUUCCCUCUCUAUUUCUUUUAUUUUUUAUUUUGUUAUAGCUGGGGAGGAGCAGUCUUUGAGGAGUUUUUGAGUGAACACGCCAUAUGCCUGUUUCAUCACGAGCGCAAAUCAGCAGGAGGAAAAAGGAUGUCCUUAAAGUGACGUGAAGCCAUCAAAGGAGCUCUCAGGCCCCCCUUCAGAAGGCAAAGGGGAAAAAAAAAAAAAAAAAACACCUGAGCAAGUUCCUGACAUCAACAUCUGAAUCUUCCUCCUCUGAAUGCUGUAGAGAUGAAACGUUUCUCUGUCUGCUCUGAGCCUCAGUUUCUUUUUUUGUAAAACGAGGACGAUAACGAUUCCAGCGUAGGCAACUUCAUCGUGUUGCUAUCUGGACCACAGCAGGUACUGGAUGUGAAAGUACUUGGUAAGCGACGCAGCCCCAUGCACCUGAGAAGGGCGGCCCACGUCAGGUCUCAGCCCCAUUCUGGGUUGAGGUCUGUGUAUCCUCAACUAGGUCAUUCCUGGCUGUGCUAAGCAGCCCCCUGCAACGGCCCCUGAGUUUCCAGGACUGGAAAACAGAUGAAUUCCACGUGCUCCCUUUCCUCAGGCUUUUCUCCCAGAUGGGGUGUGCCUUGCGGGUGGUGAGGAAGCUUGAGGAAUGCUCAAGGGUCCCUUUACGGGAAGUCUCCAGAUGCGAUCUCCUGUGGCAAACACCUGACCUGAGGACCCCAACUCCCAUCAUCGCCCUGUUAGAGGAGGCAGACUGUGGGAGGUCAUGUGGUGCUGAUACGUGACAUUGCCUCCCCACGCAGGCAGGAAAAAGAAAGUCCUAAAGGGCACAUAGUUAUUAUUCUGAUUUUGUAGACGAAGAAACCGAGGAUAAGAAGGGUUAAGCUCCUCCUUCACAUUUGCACGGCUAGUAAGAGGGAGAGGUGGCAUUUGAACUUGGGGCAGCCUGACUGCAAAGCCUUGACUGGUUCCUUUAUAUCACCACGUGUGAUACAAUGGUUGUCACGUGUGUAAUAAUGCUUGUCUCACAAGAUGGAAAACUGCAGAGGGUCCGUGAAAGAAGGAUGGGUAAUGUGCCGUGCAGUUUUAGAGGAGGGAGGGAUCACUUCCGGUUGGAGAAAUCCAGGAAACCUUCAUUGAGGAGGUGGCUUUUGCCUCCAGGUCUUGAGGAAUAGCCCAGAUUUGGACAUUCAGAGAUGUCUAUUCUUCCCGUCCGUUGUCCCUUCUGCGGGCUGUGUGGCUGGCUUCCCAUAUCUGGUGAAUCUUCGCAAAAUCCAUUUAGUCCCCAGCCUCAUCCUCGUUCUCACUGUCCCCACACAAGAGAAGUCCCGGAAUACUGGGAACGGGAGAGGAAGUCACUCCGAACUGGGUUCGACUAAAGAACCUUCCUGGAACAGGCCCUGGGGAGAGGUCUGAUGCGACUGGACUUAAGUGCCAGUUCUCGAGUGAGCCUUCCCUGCCCUCCCAGACUAGACCGUGAACCCCGGUUUCAUGUACUUAUCACAAGAGUUACGAUAGUCUGCGGGGUCGGUGUCCUGGGGACACGGUGCUCCAGACUUCCCCUGUCAUGCCGUGUGCAUGAAUUGCACACUUUUCUUCCUGGAUUGUACUGAGUAUUGAGGACUGAUGGAAAGUUACAGCGUUUUCUCUCUGGCUGUCUACGAAAGACAGCCCAAAGUCUGCGUGAUUACGUCGAGUCAUGCAAGGAUUCUGGUGGGGUGUCUGGCCUAUCAGUGUUUGGUGCGUAUUUGAUGAAUUAAUGAACGAGCGAGCACAUUCACGCAAGAUGGGAGGACUCUAGAAAGCUCCUUCCUCGCACAGACAUACCCAGGUGGUAGGAGCGGUGAGCCCGGCCCGUGCCUGGGGAAGGAGUCUGCGGUGGUGACGAAGGAGGGGGAAAUACAGUAGGUGGGGGCGGGCGGGGCGAAGCCGUGAAAAUUAGGAGUGGGUGUAAGCGCCAGGGCGCAGCGUGCAGCCAGCCACAGAAAUCGGGCCUCUGCUGGCCCCUGUGCAUAAUUAGUAGCCAGAAAUAGCACCUGAUCGGUGGCCCUGAACAAGCAAGUGUGUUUCCGUGCAGGUCCUCAUGUCUCCACAGCACUGCCCUGUUUUCUUCUUCCUUUCAGACAACAACUAUUUGCAUCCCAAGUGAUGGGUGUCCCACUCUUUCCAAGCACCAUUCUCCACAGGGAUAGAUGGAAACAGCUGGAACGGAGGGGGGAGACUUUGGCUGUAAACCUAGACAGAGGUUCUCUUCUCUCUGAGCCUCAGUUUCCCCAUCCACAAGACGGGAACCAUGUUUGGGCUUCCCCGAGGCUCGACUGAUGGUGUGGAUGGCAGCUCCUUGGCAGGUGGGAAGAGGAUACCAGAGGCGCCUGGAGCCCCUUUUCCAGUCUUCAGGGCUGGGAAGACCAAGAUCAAGGUGCCAGCAAAUCCAGAUCGCUGUCCGUCGGGAACCCUCCUCUUGAUUUGAAGGCUGUGUCCUCACAUGGCAGAGAGAGAUGUCCUCCUUAUAAGGUACGAAUCCUAUCAUGGGGGCUCUACCCACAUGACUUCAUUUAAACCUACUUAACCUCUCAAAAGCCCCACCUUCGAGUACCAUCACAGUGGGGAUUAGAGUUUCGACGUAUGAUUUAUGCUGGGACACAAACAUUCAGUCCACAGCCCAUCCUGUAAUCGUGACAACCUCUGUAACAAAUAUUGAGAAUUCUGUUCAAAACAACUCUCUUCUGAGUGCCAGCCGUGUUACGGACCUGGGAAGCUGGAGAGAGGUAUUCAGUGGUGGCUGAGACCCAGUCCCUGCCCUCCGGGAGCUUCCGGACUGAUGGACUUGCUGCUGCCCCCAGACGACCUUUGUCUUGUCAUCAUCACCAGCAUGGCUGGGGGCUGCGGGAAGGGGGCAGAGGUGUCCGGGGGCGGGCGUGCCACCGCCUACGGGCUCAGGGCAGCUCCGUCCCUGUCACCAACUCUGGCCCACCCGCCUCGGCUUAGAAGAUACAGUCCCAUGUGGACACCAAGUGAGAGCUGAGAAGCCUCUUCCUCCUGUUGGUUGGUUUGUUUAUUGUUUUAUUCAGGACUUUCGAGGCUUUACAAGUCCCCAAGAACUUGAAGUUUUGUCAUGUUUUCAGAUGAUGCAUGUGAGUGUAGAGUUGUGCUGUCCAAAUGCCCAAAUGGUAACUGCCAGACACAUACGCAUUUACAUUUGUUUCAGUUAAUUAAAUGCAGUACAAUUUAUUUUCACUAUUUUAAUUUUUUUCAUGUGUAUUUAUUUUUGAGAGAGAAAGAGACAGAGCGUGAGCAGGGGAGGGGCAGAGAGAGAGGGAGACACAGAAUCCGAAGCGGGCUAUAGGCUUUCAGCUGUCAGCACAGAACCUGACGCGGGGCUCGAGCCCACGGACCGUGAGAUCAUGAUCUGACCCGAAGUCAGAUGCUUAACCCACUGAGCCACCCGGGCGCCCCAGAGGCAAUACAAUUUUAAUUUCAGUUUUUCAGUCACAUCAUCCGCAUUUCACGUGGGUGCUAACCUCAUGUGGCGAGCUGCUACCACAUUGGGCAGCGCAGAAUAGAACGGUCCCAUCAGCCCCGAAUGUUCUGUUGGAUAGCUUUGGUACAGAAAUUUGCUUUCUUGCCAUUUGUUCUUAGCGUUUUAUUUUUUAGAGUUAGCUACGUCUGGUCUUCUUAAAUGACCCCCCCCCCCCGCCUUUGGUGUCUCCUCACAUAAUUUUUUGAGGACUCGAGCUGUUAGUGUUGACCGUAAUACCCUGCAGGCCCAGCCCCACCUUCACUGUUACGUGUUUCAUCAGCUUGGCCUUUCUGUGCCCCGCUCUCCCUGGGCUGGUGAUAUUGUCCAUCUUGCCUCUCAAACCUCUGUCAGAACAAAUGCAAAGGGCUUUAGGCUGGCCAGAAGAAAACAUAGCCGAGAUCCCACGUAGCGAAAGUGAUAAUGAUCUUUUGGUACCUGGGGAGAGGCUGCCCUUGCUUGGGACAGAUCACACUUGACCCGGUGCCCUCCCCUCGGGUGGGGUUGCGAAGGCAACCAGUUGUCUGGGGGCCCGCUUUUCUCCAUUUCAGCCAGAACGCUUUA